UUCAUUCUGUUGUCUCAUGGGACCAUAGCUGCUUGUCUGGGGGCUAUAUUUAAGUUAUAAUUUUCAGGUUUGCUAAUUAUGGGUUUCAUGCCAAUCUAACAGUUGGCAUUGGAGAUUAUAAUAAUGGGAGGUUAAAAGAUUUUGUUGGGUGCUUAUUCCUUCUAGUUAAAUACUGUAGUUUGCUUAAAAUAAAUAAAGGGUACCAUUUAAGUCUUUACAUUCUUAAUUAUUGAUGCUGUACAACAUUUGGAACUUUGUUAUGUAUGUAAUGCUAUUGUUUUUACAUACACACAUGUAUACUCGUUUGCAUGUAUAUAUCUGUGUGUGUUGAGAGGCUGGGGAUUCUGGUGAGGAGAGAGUUGCCAUUAUUUAAGAAGACGCUCACAUUUGCUAGUAAAGAAGCAUUUCUAACGUCUUACGUGAAUGGGGAAAUAAAAAUUCCAUAUAUUUCUUAGAUCUUUUUUAAUUUGAAGUACAUUUUAAAAUAAUUUAUAACAUCUUAUUCAAGAUUAGUGAAAUGCUAACAAGUACCCUGUGGGUAUUGUUUAACAAUGGAAUUGAUAUAAGAAGUGUCUUGAAAAUAGAUGAAAUAGUUAGUAAAUUCAGUGAAAAGUGUCUUGUGUUUUUAAUUUUUUGUCCUUUUUUUUUGGUGCCUAGAGGGCACUUGUUAGCAAGACCAGUAUUACACAAUGUAUAUAAGUAUUUGAGAUGUGUCCCAAUAGCAAUACCCAACUUUCGGACACCCAUCAUCUUAAUAUUUAGGUUUGGAAAUAUCUGCCCUUUUUCUUUCAAUCCAUCUUCCUGGAAGUAUGUAAUCCAGAACCCCCAAAUGGAUUUAUCCCUUUUUGGAAUAUGACACUUGGACACACACCUGCAUUCGAUGUUUGCACCUGAGUCCAUGUAACAUAGUCCAAGUCAACAGCUCCUGCUAUGGCAGAUAGUGGGAUGCAUCAGCAGACAUAAUGAGGAUUAUGCACUGGUAAUUGAUUUGGGUGCAAUUCAAGUCAACAAAUAUGGGCAGCUUUGAUCAAUGCACCCUUAGAAGUUCAUUUUUUCCAGUUUCGUACGGUACACAAUUUUGCUAUGCAAUCUCCCCAAUAUUUUGGGCUCAAGAAUGAGUCUACAAAAAGCUGUUAAAAGCAAGUUUUAAUAUGCUUCUUGUGUCACUGGAAAACAUGCCUUAAUUGCCUGGGCAACGCGGACAAUUUAUUAUACAAUUGAAUGCAGUAAGGUCAGUGGUGGGUGGGAAGAAUUGCUUGACAUAGGUAGUUGACAAAAUACAAGUUGAGGAUAGAAAAAAUCUCACUGCUUUUUAUUUUUAUUUUUUUGGGAAUGAUCUCCCAAGAGUCGAAGAAGUUUUUGUCUUUUCUGUUACUUUAUUUGUUCUUUUUGUCACUGUUGGAUUUGCUUUAUAA